rnacentral:rRNA from 1 species
AUUGAACGCUGGCGGCAUGCCUUACACAUGCAAGUCGAACGGUAACGGGCCUUCGGGUGCCGACGAGUGGCGAACGGGUGAGUAAUACAUCGGAACGUGCCCGAUCGUGGGGGAUAACGAGGCGAAAGCUUUGCUAAUACCGCAUACGAUCUACGGAUGAAAGCAGGGGACCGCAAGGCCUUGCGCGGACGGAGCGGCCGAUGGCAGAUUAUGUAGUUGGUGGGAUUAAAGCUUACCAAGCCGACGAUCUGUAGCUGGUCUGAGAGGAUGAUCCGCCACACUGGGACUGAGACACGGCCCAGACUCCUACGGGAGGCAGCAGUGGGGAAUGUUGGACAAUGGGCGCAAGCCUGAUCCAGCCAUGCCGCGUGCAGGAUGAAGGCCUUCGGGUUGUAGACUGCUUUUGUACGGAACGAAAAGCAUUCUUUUAAUACAGGAGGGUCAUGACGGUACCGUAAGAAUAAGCACCGGCUAACUACGUG